CCCAUGUUCUGACUCAUUUAUGCACUGAAUUGCUUAAUGAGUUUCUCUGUGCCUUGGUGGUCUUAUCCAAGUAAAAUGGUGGUGAUGUGGUAUAUAAUAUCUGGUUAAGUAAAUGGCCCAAGACCAUGUAAGAGACAAGUUGAAGCUGGAAUUUGAACAUAGACAAUUUAGAUUCAACAUCUGUGCUCAUAACCAACAGAAUCUAGCACAUGCUGAGCCCAUUAAGGCCCCUUAAAGAGCUUUCAGAAGACAACCUGGUCAGCCCUGGCCAGCCCUGCCAUGUGUCACUAUUUUAUUCGACAGUUCCAGCCUGGUUCUGUCACAUUGUUUCAUCACAAAAUUGGAUUGCACAGAACUCAAAUGGAGAGGACAUGCAAACUCAGGAAUGUGGAGCACUCAUCAUCUGCUGUGGUCAAGGAGACAAUCUGUGAAGAAAGUGAACAAGGCAGACGAAGAUAAGUGCAAAAACAGAGAUCCAAAAUGCUCCUAAGAGAGAAAGGAACAGGAAUCUCCCAGUUCCUGAGAGCCUCCCAGGGAGUUUUAUGCCUAUGUAAUCAGUGCAGACAGCCGUUAAGUAAAUGAAGAGGCAACUAACAAUGUCAGAAAAGAGACCGGGCGGUUCCGGCUGACACUACCCUAAUCUUCCAGGACCCAUUAAAUGGCAGUUUCAACGCAUUACCUACCAUAACAUCCUUGAAUAUCACUGAUUUUAUUUGCAGUAUCAAACAUUCCAUUUCAUGCCCCAUUAACAGUGGGAGCCUGAGCUUUUUGACGCAGCUAAACAUUUUACUAACUACCUGGACUAAGUAACCAAUUAACUUUUGGAGACAAUACGGCCAAUUAAGCGCGAAAAGCAGAAAUAUCAGUGUCCGACAAGAUAUUGCCCUGGUUAUCACUGGCUUGGACUCUUCAGAGAGAAAAACAAAUCCAUGUAUGGAGAGGUGGGCUCCAAAUUAACCCUCUGUGGUUUGGGAAGUCAUUUUCUAAAUGGCAGACAAGGUCUCAGGUGGUGAUUCUGCUAUGUGGAUUUGACUCCAGUUGACUGGAAUGGAGCACAAGUAAUGAACUUGGAUAUCACAUUUUUGAAAGCUUGAGGCAAAUUUUAUCCCUUUGGUAGACGUCUUUCAUCUUUGAAGGUACAGAAGAAAAUUUGUCCUGGAGGGCAUCUUCCACAGGCCUUGUAUAAGUGAGAAACAUGAAGCUGAUAUAGAGUCAGAAACUAAACACUGAACUCAGAUUUAUCUAUCUGUUAAACACACACACACACACACACACACACACAAUCAAACAGCUUUGUGAAAAUGCAACUGUUCUCAAUAGGAAGAGAAAUCAAGAAUUUUGAAAAGCAGGUAAAGAAUAGACUUCCAAUGAUGGUCAUUUGAAUCUGACUUUAAUACAAAAAUGUUAAUGCUUACAUAUGUAAUGUUGUCAAAUUAUUCCUAGAGCAAUACAAUUGUUUAACAUUUAUUUGAAACCUGCUCACAUACACUUAAAAUCUGAUUUGGGCCUGAAAACUCAUAAGUAAAGCAGUGAUCUAAGUUGUGCUUGAAAUUAUUAAUUUCCUGUAUUGUUUAAUGGUAGAGGUAUUUGAUCCCCAUAGAACAGCUGUUGAAUUGUCAUGGGAAAAAAAAAAUUCAUGUAUUCCAUUGCUAUGUUAGUAUUCUUGGUUCAUAACUUUUUUAUGUUGUUUCUGCCAGAUUCUGUGAUGAUGGAAAGCAGGAACAAAAAGAAUUAAUGUUAUAUACUCUCAGGUUUAGAUAUUUUUUGAAGAAUUUGAUGAGGAUUGUUACUUCCAAAGAAGAUUUGAAUAAGAAAUAGUUCUAUGUUAAUAUGGACCAAUUAAUAACAUUGAUUGAAAUUUCCUUUUGAAAUUUUUCUUGGAUUUUAAUAUCUUUUCUCAAGAGACACAGUUUUCUUUAUAGAAGUGAUUGCUGUGGGCUAUUUAU